rnacentral:sRNA from 1 species
UGAUGACGUUCGCAUACUCUACCAUUGC